GAUGAACGCUGGCGGCGUGCCUAAUACAUGCAAGUCGAGCGAACGGACGAGAAGCUUGCUUCUCUGAUGUUAGCGGCGGACGGGUGAGUAACACGUGGAUAACCUACCUAUAAGACUGGGAUAACUUCGGGAAACCGGAGCUAAUACCGGAUAAUAUUUUGAACCGCAUGGUUCAAAAGUGAAAGACGGUCUUGCUGUCACCUAUAGAUGGAUCCGCGCUGCAUUAGCUAGUUGGUAAGGUAACGGCUUACCAAGGCAACGAUGCGUAGCCGACCUGAGAGGGUGAUCGGCCACACUGGAACUGAGACACGGUCCAGACUCCUACGGGAGGCAGCAGUAGGGAAUCUUCCGCAAUGGGCGAAAGCCUGACGGAGCAACGCCGCGUGAGUGAUGAAGGUCUUCGGAUCGUAAAACUCUGUUAUUAGGGAAGAACAUAUGUGUAAGUAACUGUGCACAUCUUGACGGUACCUAAUCAGAAAGCCACGGCUAACUACGUG
rnacentral:rRNA from 1 species